AGGACGAACGCUGGCGGCGUGCUUAACACAUGCAAGUCGAGCGAGGCCCCACCUUCGGGUGGGUGUCCUAGCGGCGAACGGGUGAGUAACACGUGGGCAACCUGCCCCUAGCACUGGGAUAACCCCGGGAAACCGGGGCUAAUACCGGAUAUCACUUCGGAGGGCAUCCUCUGGUGUUGAAAGGGUUACUGGCUAGGGAUGGGCCCGCGGCCUAUCAGCUUGUUGGUGGGGUAAAGGCCUACCAAGGCGACGACGGGUAGCCGGCCUGAGAGGGCGACCGGCCACACUGGGACUGAGACACGGCCCAGACUCCUACGGGAGGCAGCAGUGGGGAAUAUUGCACAAUGGGCGAAAGCCUGAUGCAGCGACGCCGCGUGAGGGAUGACGGCCUUCGGGUUGUAAACCUCUUUCAGCAGGGACGAAGCGAAAGUGACGGUACCUGCAGAAGAAGCACCGGCCAACUACGCGCCAGCAGCCGC
rnacentral:rRNA from 1 species